GACGAACGCUGGCGGCGUGCCUAAUACAUGCAAGUCGAACGCAUUUUCUUUCACCGUAGCUUGCUACACCGAAAGAAAAUGAGUGGCGAACGGGUGAGUAACACGUGGGUAACCUGCCCAUCAGCGGGGGAUAACACUUGGAAACAGGUGCUAAUACCGCAUAAUUCCAUUUACCGCAUGGUAAAUGGAUGAAAGGCGCUUUUGCGUCACUGAUGGAUGGACCCGCGGUGCAUUAGCUAGUUGGUGGGGUAACGGCCUACCAAGGCUGCGAUGCAUAGCCGACCUGAGAGGGUGAUCGGCCACACUGGGACUGAGACACGGCCCAGACUCCUACGGGAGGCAGCAGUAGGGAAUCUUCGGCAAUGGACGCAAGUCUGACCGAGCAACGCCGCGUGAUUGAAGAAGGUUUUCGGAUCGUAAAACUCUGUUGUUAGAGAAGAACAAGGAUGAGAGUGGAAAGUUCAUCCCUUGACGGUAUCUAACCAGGAAGCCACGGCUAACUACGUG
rnacentral:rRNA from 1 species